ACAAGUAGUCAGAGCCCGUUAAUGGGUGAUGGCGUGCCUUUUGUAGAAUGAACCGGCGAGUUACGAUUUGAUGCAAGGUUAAGCAGUAAAUGUGGAGCCGUAGCGAAAGCGAGUCUGAAUAGGGCGUUUAGUAUUUGGUCGUAGACCCGAAACCAGGUGAUCUACCCUUGGUCAGGUUGAAGUUCAGGUAACACUGAAUGGAGGACCGAACCGACUUACGUUGAAAAGUGAGCGGAUGAACUGAGGGUAGCGGAGAAAUUCCAAUCGAACCUGGAGAUAGCUGGUUCUCUCCGAAAUAGCUUUAGGGCUAGCCUCAAGUGAUGAUUAUUGGAGGUAGAGCACUGUUUGGACGAGGGGCCCCUCUCGGGUUACCGAAUUCAGACAAACUCCGAAUGCCAAUUAAUUUAACUUGGGAGUCAGAACAUGGGUGAUAAGGUCCGUGUUCGAAAGGGAAACAGCCCAGACCACCAGCUAAGGUCCCAAAAUAUAUGUUAAGUGGAAAAGGAUGUGGCGUUGCCCAGACAACUAGGAUGUUGGCUUAGAAGCAGCCAUCAUUUAAAGAGUGCGUAAUAGCUCACUAGUCGAGUGACACUGCGCCGAAAAUGUACCGGGGCUAAACAUAUUACCGAAGCUGUGGAUUGUCCUUUGGACAAUGGUAGGAGAGCGUUCUAAGGGCGUUGAAGCAUGAUCGUAAG
rnacentral:rRNA from 1 species